GACGAACGCUGGCGGCGUGCUUAACACAUGCAAGUCGAACGGAAAGGCCCUGCUUUUGUGGGGUGCUCGAGUGGCGAACGGGUGAGUAACACGUGAGUAGCCUGCCCUUGACUUUGGGAUAACUUCAGGAAACUGGGGCUAAUACCGGAUAGGAGCUCCUGCUGCAUGGUGGGGGUUGGAAAGUUUCGGCGGUUGGGGAUGGACUCGCGGCUUAUCAGCUUGUUGGUGGGGUAGUGGCUUACCAAGGCUUUGACGGGUAGCCGGCCUGAGAGGGUGACCGGCCACAUUGGGACUGAGAUACGGCCCAGACUCCGACGGGAGGCAGCAGUGGGGAGUAUUGCAAGAUGGGCGGAAGACUGAUGCAGCAACGACGCGAGCGGGAUGACGGCCUUCGGGUUGGAAACCGAUUUCGCCUGUGACGAAGCGUGAGUGACGGUAAUGGGUAAAGAAGCACCGGCUAACUACGUG
rnacentral:rRNA from 1 species